UAAGGCUGCUUUACAGAUAAACUGAAGUGAAUUAAACAUAUUUCUAUAUGAUAUGUAAGCCUUUUUGGGAAUGAACCCUUUCAGGUGUGUACUGUGGAGUGGAAUCUGGAUUGGAGGCAGUCUGUAAUUUCUUACACACCUGACCUAAGAUCAGCAUCCACUCAGCUCAAAGAAGUGUGGAAUCUGAGGAUGAGGAUAAGGGUUCCCGACUCAAACAAACUGCAUCUGAAGACCCAUGUGGAGGUGAUGAAUAUACUUCCUCUAGAACAACUGUGUCACUGACUGUCUUCAAAGGACACUAACAGACUGCUUGAGAGUUUGGCCUAGUAAGGCCUAGUGAAGCAGCAUGAGGAUGUAUUUAUUAACAAAGACUUCAAGGCACUUGUGGAAGUCGCUCUGGAUAAAGCCGUCUGCUAAAUGACAGAAAUGUCCACUCUGUACACCUCGGACUUUCAGUACAACUCUGAAACAUGCCACCUGCAGGAGUUUUCUGGCCAAUCUGCAGUGGUGGGGUGUAUUAGGGAUGGACAGGAGUCUGAUCACCGGAGACUACUGGAUAACUCUGUGGACUGGUGAAUUAUUUCGGUGUACACUUAAACGACAGACUGGACUGGAAGAUCCACACUGAAGCUGUAUACAGGAAGAGGACGAGCAGACUCUAUUUUCUGAGGAAGCUCAGAUCUUUCAAUGUCUGUAACAAGAUGCUGGAGAACUUCUCCCAGUCUGUGGUGUUGAGUGCCAUUUACUGUGCUGUGAUCUGCUGGGGGUCAGCAUCAGCUCCAAGGAUGCCAGCAGGAUUAACAAGCUAAUUCACAAAGCUGGAUCUAUCACUGGACACAAAGUGGAGACAUUUGAGUCAGUGAGAAAUAGGAGGUCACUGGACAAACUGCUCUCCAUCACGGACAAUCCGUCUCACCCACUCUACAACACACUACAGAGUCAGAGGAGCUCAUUCUCCAAAAGACUCGUUCAGGUUCAUGCCACAGAGAACGUCACAGGAGAACAUUGACUAUAAGUUAAGUUGUCUUUAUUUGUCACAUAUAUAUAACUGCACAGUGAAAUUCUUUCUUCACAUAUCCCAUCCUUGGGCAUUGGGGUCGGAGCGCAGGGUCAGCCAUGAUACAGCGCCCUGAGAGCAGGGUGGGUCGGGGGCCUUGUUCAAGGGCCCAACGGUGGCAGCCUGGCGGUGCUGGGGCUUGAACCCUGAUCGUCUGGUCAAUGACCCACUUGAGCUACCACCGCCCCAUAACAUUAUACAUUAGCUCACCUGUGUGUGACAGGGGAUAACACUCUCACACUGCACUACUACAGCCAUUAACACUAUUUCCAAGACUCUCAAGGUUCUUCAUAUUUAUUAUCUUCAUCUUCAUAUCUACUGCCAGUUUGCACAUGUGUACUGUACUGUAAUGUAAAUACUGAUGUAAAUACGGUUAAAUCCACAAGUGUCUUUCCUAUCUGCACUGCUACAUUUAACUUAUUUAAUUCUAUAUUGUCUUAGUCUAAUAUGAGUGUGUUUAUGUGUGUACAUAUAAUUUAAUAUUUGAUAUGUGUGAGUGUGCAUGUUGAAUCUUGUUAAUGGCUAAGCUGCUGUAACACUAGAAUUUCUAAAAAUUCUUUAAAUCUAGAAUCUAGAAAUGAAUUCUAGAAUCUUUAAAAUCUAUUUCCUAGUCUGAAUGAAUUUUGGAAUAAAGACGUAAUUUAGGGAAUUAACCAACUGAACUGAACUGCUGCAGAUCACUGUAAAGUACAGUGUAAGUGUAAAUGUAAACCUUUUGCUUCUCGUAUACUGUACACCCGGAUCCAGACACACAUAUAUGCAGAGACUGAGAGAGAGAAAGAUAGAGAGAGAGACAGAGAGAGAGAGAGAGAGAGAGAGACAGAGAGACAGAGAGAGGGAAGUAAAACAUCCUUUCUGUUUCCUGAUAGUCUGAAUGCACUUUUUAGUAAACAAAAUCAUAGAGAAUCACAUGAUGCUUCACUUUCACUUUCACACAUGUGCUAAAUAUUUCAUCUGUAUGGAGCUACUGCAAUAGUAAAGGACAAAAAAAUUCUUUAUUUAGUUUUGUUUAUUGUUAAAGUAUGGAUUCAUACAAAAAUAACAAUUAAAAAUAUGUUUUUAUUAAUAAAAAAAUCUUUUAAAAACAUUUUAUAAAACACAGAAAGACAUUUCCUGUAGAAUGAUUUCUGUUAUCUUGAUUUAUAAACAUAAAUUUUACAUAUUAAUUCGAUUUAUUGAUAUAUUCCUGGGUCAGAAAGUGCCCAAAAGGCCAGUGCAGGUAGAAAAAUAUUUUUAAUGUCAUGACACUUAGUAUGUCAUGACAUAGUUUCAAAACACUGUUACCAGGAAACUACAAGAUACAUGCCACAACAGAGACCUGGCACUGACUGAGGUUACAUCAGCUCAUAGAUAGUGUAAAGACAGAGGGAAAUGAACCUUCCAGAACAUCAACAUUUACCUCAGAUGUGUUGAUAAACAGCUUAAAAAGAAGACAAUACAUGACUAAAAGUAUUUUUUACACAGUGUAUAGACAUGGGGAGAGUGAAAAUUAUCCAGGACAUCAACAGUUACCUCAGAUUUGUUGAUAAACUGCUAAGAA